AUAUGCUUACAACAUAGUGUUAAUGUACUAGAUCCCAUUAGAACUCCCCAGUUAAGGACACUUGAGCUAGAUUAGUAUUGAGAUGAGUGACUGCUCGAAAAUUCCUAGUGUUUUACAUGCC
rnacentral:rRNA from 1 species